rnacentral:rRNA from 1 species
AUUGAACGCUGGCGGCAUGCCUUACACAUGCAAGUCGAACGGUAACAGGUCUUUCGGGAUGCUGACGAGUGGCGAACGGGUGAGUAAUACAUCGGAACGUGCCUAGUAGUGGGGGAUAACUACUGGAAAGAGUGGCUAAUACCGCAUGAGAUCUAUGGAAGAAAGCAGGGGACCUUCGGGCCUUGUGCUACUAGAGCGGCCGAUGGCAGAUUAGGUAGUUGGUGGGAUAAAAGCUUACCAAGCCUACGAUCUGUAGCUGGUCUGAGAGGACGAUCAGCCACACUGGGACUGAGACACGGCCCAGACUCCUACGGGAGGCAGCAGUGGGGAAUUUUGGACAAUGGGCGCAAGCCUGAUCCAGCAAUGCCGCGUGCAGGAUGAAGGCCUUCGGGUUGUAAACUGCUUUUGUACGGAACGAAAAGUCUUGGGUUAAUACCCUGGGAUCAUGACGGUACCGUAAGAAUAAGCACCGGCUAACUACGUGCCAGCCGCCGCAGUAA